rnacentral:rRNA from 1 species
AUUGAACGCUGGCGGCAGGCCUAACACAUGCAAGUCGAGCGGAUGAAGGGAGCUUGCUCCUGGAUUCAGCGGCGGACGGGUGAGUAAUGCCUAUGAAUCUGCCUGGUCUUGGGGGAUAACGUCCGGAAACGGGCGCUAAUACCGCAUACGUCCUGAUGGAGAAAGUGGGGGAUCUUCGGACCUCACGCUAUCAGAUGAGCCUAGGUCGGAUUAGCUAGUUGGUGGGGUAAAGGCCUACCAAGGCGACGAUCCGUAACUGGUCUGAGAGGAUGAUCAGUCACACUGGCACUGAGACACGGUCCAGACUCCUACGGGAGGCCGCAGUGGGGAAUAUUGGACAAUGGGCGAAAGCCUGAUCCAGCCAUGCCGCGUGUGUGAAGAAGGUCUUCGGAUUGUAAAGCACUUUAAGUUGGGAGGAAGGGAAGUAAGUUAAUACCUUGCUGUUUUGACGUUACCAACAGAAUAAGCACCGGCUAACUUCGUG